AAGAUAUCUCAAAGUCUUCUAGUUAUUAUGUUGCAAUGGGUAACUUGAAUUCAGAAGAUGUGGAGGUGAAACUAAAAAUAAGAAUAAGGGCUUCCCAAUAUGAUACAAGUGAAGCCAAUUACAAAUGCAAUGUCAGUGAAGGGUCCUGUAGCAUGCAAAUUUUAUUCCCUGAGGGAAAUGUAGCUGUCUUAACCAAUCUUGGUUCUGAUCAG